rnacentral:rRNA from 1 species
UACGGGGGGAGCAAGCGUUGUUCGGAUUUACUGGGCGUAAAGGGCGCGUAGGCGGCCUCUGCAAGUCGACUGUGAAAUCUCCGGGCUUAACCCGGAAAGGUCAGCCGAUACUGCAGGGCUAGAGUGCAGAAGGGGCAACUGGAAUUCUCGGUGUAGCGGUGAAAUGCGUAGAUAUCGAGAGGAACACCUGCGGCGAAGGCGGGUUGCUGGGCUGACACUGACGCUGAGGCGCGAAAGCUAGGGGGAGCGAACGGG